CAGGCGCGAAAACUUUGCAAUAAGCGAAAGCUUGACAGGGCUAUCCCGAGUGCCAUCCGCUGAGGAAGGCUUUUACCCAGUCUAGAACGCUGGGGGAAUAAGGAGAGGGCAAGUCUGGUGUCAGCCGCCGCGGUAAUACCAGCUCUCCGAGUGGUGUGGAUGUUUAUUGGGCCUAAAGCAUCCGUAGCUGGCUAGGUUAGUCCCCUGUUAAAUCCACCGAAUUAAUCGUUGGAUUGCGGGGGAUACUGCUUGGCUAGGGGACGAGAGAGGCAGACGGUAUUUCCGGGGUAGGGGUGAAAUCCUAUAAUCCCGGGAAGACCACCAGUGGCGAAGGCUGUCUGCUAGAACGCGCCCGACGGUGAGGGAUGAAAGCUGGGGGAGCGAACCGGAUUAGAUACCCGGGUAGUCCCAGCUGUAAACGAUGCAGACUAGGUGUUUGAACGGCCACGUGCCGUUCUAGUGCCGCAGGGAAGCUGUUAAGUCUGCCGCCUGGGGAGUAUGAUCGCAAGAUUGAAACUUAAAGGAAUUGGCGGGGGAGCAC
rnacentral:rRNA from 1 species